UACGUAGGGGGCUAGUGUUGUCCGGAAUCAUUGGGCGUAAAGAGCGUGUAGGCGGCCCGGUAAGUCCGCUGUAAAAGUCAAAGGCUCAACCUUUGAAUGUCAGUGGAUACUGCCGGGCUAGAGUCCGGAAGAGGCGAGUGGAACUCCUGGUGUAGCGGUGGAAUGCGCAGAUAUCAGGAAGAACACCAACGGCGAAGGCAGCUCGCUGGGACGGUACUGACGCUGAGACGCGAAAGCGUGGGGAGCGAACAGG
rnacentral:rRNA from 1 species